ensembl:piRNA 21ur-14022 ncRNA
UUUCCCGGAUCUCCCUUUUUU